GCCGGAAAGGGACCACACAGUAAUUCUCUGCUAAUGAAAUCGACGGAGGAAAUUGAUUCUAUUCAAUUUUCUAUGACCAUUACCUUUCAUCGAUUUAUUGACAACGAGAGCUGGGACGGCCUUCAAGUUGAGGCUAGUACGACAAGAGUACCACUUCUCAAUUGCCACCUGCUUUGGCAAUAACUACACAGAAUGGACGAGUCACAACGAAUGAUAGAUACGCAGGUCGAUAUGUAUCAGUAUUAAUCUCAUGGAUAGUUAUGGUUUAGACCAGUACUAGGUGGGAACGACACGAUGUCGAGGACGACUCCCUAUCUAAUUCCACUGAUUCUGAUUGUACAUUUUGGGUCUCAGCCAAAAGAAGUAAACAGCGCCUAUCGCCGAGACUGCUUCUACGACUUCGAAGUCCUGUGCAAGUACCACUACCGCCAGCCGCUGCUAAAAUGCGGCACAGAUCAACACAAGAAAAUAGCCAGAGGCAAGUGUAAACGGGGAGUUUGCACCAAGCUUGUUGGUAGAGGGGCCAUUUCGGCGGCUUGUAAAUCAAUCGUGUGGCUUAUAAAACAGGGCCAAUGCAACAUGACUCUUCAACCUCCCUGUGGUUACUAUUCUAGCGCUACUUUUCCCCUUCUGGCAACAGUUCCGCCCGUCACGUGACUGAUAUUUGACUAGACCUGAUGCGCCUCGAAAUAAUACAACAAUAUACCAAUCAUCGUUCGAAUUGUGAAAAACAAUGAUUCCGAAGAAAAAAAUACGGUGCGACAACAGACGGUCUGUCUCCAUGUUUGGUUGUGACUAUGUCUCCAGAACAUGCAGUCGAGUUCGUCAUAUCAUAAAUCAGCCAUACAUCAAUUGUAAUUGUGUCAUGUACGCCAAUAAGACUGGCCACUUAUAUGUAAGUAGAUGACACUAUAAAUUAUAUGUAUACGUUGCUGGGAAGCGAUUGGAGACUGGAACAUUCGUAAGGUCCUUCUUAAAAGGCAGUCCAUUGGCAUUCAAAGAUGGUUCUGGUACAUAUAUCUACAGGAUGCAUGACACUGGGGGAGACAAACGGUGCAGUUUGUAUUCAGCCACUGCAAUGGCGUUUGCUUUCCUUUUCAAUUUUCGUGCU